UCCUGGUUAACCCAGGCAGUCUCUUUAGAGUGCCCAACUUAAUGCUGGCAACUAAAGAUGGGGGUUGCGCUCGUUGCGAGACUUAACCCAACAUUUCACAACACGAGCUGACGACAGCCAUGCAGCACCUCUCACUCGAUUCCCUUGCGGGCACUCCAACCAUUACGUCGGAUUCCGAGGAGUUCAAGCCCAGGUAAGGUUUUGCGCGUUGCUUCGAAUUAAACCACAUAAUCCACCGCUUGUGCGGGCCCCCGUCAAUUCCUUUGAGUUUUAGCCUUGCGGCCGUACUUCCCAGGCGGAACACUUAACGCGUUAGCUGCGUUCCUGGAGGGGUCAAUACCUCCAAAAACUAGUGUUCAUCGUUUACGGCGUGGACUAC
rnacentral:misc_RNA from 1 species